rnacentral:rRNA from 1 species
GCUUACGGCCACACCACCCUGAGCGCGCCCGAUCUCGUUCUGAUCUCGGAAGCUAAGCAGGGUCGGGCCUGGUUAGUACUUGGAUGGGAGACCGCCUGGGAAUACCAGGUGCCGUAAGCU